UGAGGUGUUCUGGAGGCCUGUGCACAAGACUAGGCUGUAACUCCUUCCUUAACUUUUGUGACUUUGUGUCCCUCAAAGCAUUUACAAACUAAGGUAAAAAUGACACUCUAUGUGGGAUUUUGCCAGCUUCUUCAAGCAGACAUUUCUUAGCCCAGGAAAAAGUCAACAGGUGAAGGUAAGCACUGCGCUGUUUGGAUUGAUAGUCUCCGAGGAGCCAUUUAACUGCAUGAAAACAUCCCUUGGAAAUGCUAGCAUUGGCAAUAUGCUGUAUUCAGGUAACUUAAUCUUAAUGAUGGGCUCUGCUCAUCUGGGAUCUGCAGUGGUGUAAAUUACUACAAGAGGGCCACUUGAGAAGCUGCACUCAAUGCAUUUUCACUCUACUCACUAUAUAUCAAAGCAAAGCAACGGAAGAUACAAAGAAGAACAUUAUUAGCAUUGACCUAACUGCUUUGAUUAACAGCUGUCAACAGCAAAGCAAUGUGGGCUAAGAUGUUAAAAGACUACCAUCAACCUGGCAGCCCUGGGAGACCACACUCUUCUGAGGAUGCAAAGAAAAGCAGAGGCCCUGACAAGCUGAAAUUUCUUCAGACACAUUUAGGGCAUUCUGAGAGAAGAGACCACUCCCCAAGACCAAUGGGAAGCUAAGAACAUAGAAGGCCCAAAAGGCAUCAUUUAUUCAGGAAGUUCAGGAUAUGUGCUUAUAUGUUUUGUUUUUUGUUUUUUUGUUUCUCUAUUAAAGCAUUUCAAUUCUUCAGAACAGAGCAUGAAAAACGCUGCUUAUUUUUUCAGCUUUCUAGCUCAUAAGGAAUACAGAACUUGUACUUCUGUUUCGAAAUAGGAAUGGUUUUUCCUUGUUCUCAACUCCAAUUUCCAUCUGAGGCUAUGUUAUAGCCUAAGCUAUUCAUCUAGUGGAUAAACUCUGAUACAUUUUUAUUUUCCCCCUGAUAGACUAAGUAAACAUGAGGUCACUGUAAGGGUGCAGAAACUGUAACAUAAUAAUGGAGUGGUGAAUGGUUGGAGAAUAAAUUUCAGAAAAUAAAGCCAAGAGAGAAAGCAUUGGUGCUAGUAUGAACUUUCAUGUUCAAACAGUACUUCUUACCAAACACUAUUUCUAAACUAUUUCUAAUUCAGGGAUGCCUAGUUCACAGAACCCUAAAAGCAGACAGAAUGAAGGACUUCUGCAUGCUUUCCCUGCUCUUACUCUCUUCUGCUGCCUGCACUCUUCCUUUUGUCUCCUAGCCUCUCUGAGAGACAGGAUGCUGGACUGGAGAGCCUUUUUGGCUAACCUCAUACAGCUGCUCUGGUGCUCUUCUAUUUAUGCUGUGUUUUGGAGGAAGUGAUUUUCUCUUAUUCUUGAUCAUUGUCAACAAACAGCAAAACCCUCCAAUGCCAUUUUUGACAGAGUCGACCUAAAUACUUGCAUUCAAAGAUUAGUCACACACUGCUGAAGUGAAAGAAAGAAAAUGUAAACAGCCAGUGCCUUUGCCAGAAGUAUGCAAGUGUCUGUGUGGGAAAGGAUAUGAUAUAAGAGCCUGUGUAAUCAUACAUUCUUUUAUUAAAAUAAAACCUUUCACAACAAUUCCUAACAUGAUUUUUUUUUUUUUCAGGUAUUACUAUUCAUUAAACAAAGCUUGUCUGUGCAAUUAUCAAA
ensembl:lncRNA